AAUGCUUUAUAAACAAAAUGUAUUCAAUUCCAGAAAUGUUGCCAAAAUCUCAAUCAAUUUAAAAAAGAAUCUGAGAUGAAAUCUUCAGAUCUCCAGCAAGUGGCGCUCAGCUGAAAAACAUUAUAGUAUAAUAAAUAUACAGAAUCAGGCCACAAAGUAAUACAUUUAGAACAAAACGUAAAUUAAAAAAAGGAAGUAGAACAGAAGUAGGGCUGUUGUUGAGUCCACUUCCCUGAAUGCCACAAUGCUGAAAAAAGAAUUCCAACUGCAACGAAUAAUCUCACUUUAAAAACCGGUACUGACUCUCCUACAAAUUCCUCAUAAAUCACCAUUAAAAAGCUUAGCAAAAUGUGAACUGGUGCUGCCGCACUACCCAUGUGUGCCCUAGUAAGGGCUGAUAGAUAUGUAAUACCAAGAUUUUGCCCUUUGUCUGGAAGCAGUAAGGCCAAGUGUUCCUGUAGGAUGAGGUUUGACUUUCUGCUGUUUAAAUUUAGAUAGGUAUUUCGGGUAGUGUGCAGGCAAAUU